CUUACACUAUUAGGUGGAUGACUUGGCUCAAAACAGCGAUGAAGGACAUGGCAAGCUGUGAUAAGCCCUGGGUAGGUGCACGCAGCCGUUGAACCAGGGAUUUCUGAAUAGGACUUCCGAUAUAUUCCGAAAGGAAAGCCAACUCGGUGAAUUGAAGCGUCUUAGUAACCGAAGGAAAAGAAAUUAACCAAGAUUCUGUGAUUAGCAGCGAGCGAAAACAGAAGAGAGCAAACUGAAUUUCUUAUAGUAAUAUAAGAUAGAUGUGGUGUUGUAAGACUCACUUUCGAUCCUUCAAACUCAGCCAAAGUUUCCUGGAAAGGAACGCUAUAAAGAGUGAUAGCCUCGUAGGUUGAACUAAAAGGAUUUGUGAGUAUCUUGAGUAGUGUUUCUUGGAUAUGAAGCAUGAAGCUAGGAGUCAUUAACUUCUAACUCUAAAUAUGUUUUGAGUCCGAUAGCGUAUAGUAUAGUGAUAAAACGUUGAAAAGUACCCUUAGCAGGGUGUGAAAAGAUCCUGAAACCUAAUAGUAAUAGAAUGAUACUGCUAUUCGUAGUUGUAUCGUACGUUUAGAAUAACGGGCCAGGGAGUUGAUCUAAGUGGCAAGAAUAAUUCGUAAUAAGAAGUAUUCGAAGCGAAAGCAAAAUCUCGCAGUUUACAAGGAGAUGGGUUUUAACUAGCCUCAGUCACUUGGGUCUAACCAGAAACCAAGCGAUCUAAUCUUGGGCAAGGUGAAGUGGUCUUAACGGACCGUGGAGGCCUGAAGGGAUUCUAUGUGCAUGUGACCCUAUGACCUGAGAUUAGGGGUGAAAAGCUAAUCGAGCUUGGUGAUAGCUGGUUCCUAUCGAAAUAUGCCGAAGUAUAGUCUCAAGCGAGAUAGCUAGGAUUGUAGAGCUACGGAUUUGGAGGUUAGGGGUAGAAAUACCUCGCCUUCUUGUCCAACUCCAAAUGUCCUAGCGUUGUAGACCUUGGGAAACAGGGGAGCGCGGUAAGCGUGUUUUCCAAUAGGGGAACCACCCUCUCUAUAGUUAAGGUCCCAAAAUGCUAAUUAAGUGUGAAAGGGUGAAGGGUGUAUAUCUGCUCAGACAGCUGGGAGGUUGGCUUAGAAGCAGCCAUCCUUUAAAGAAAGCGUAAUAGCUCACCAGUCAAGGAGGUAUGCCCCGAAAAUGGACGGGGCUAAAUUAGCUACCGAUACUAUAGACUCCAGAAAUGGAUGUGGUAGAUAGGCGUUCUGUAAGGGUAGAAGUUUUCUUGUAAAAGGAAAUGGACCUUAUAGAAAUGAGAAUCCUGGCGGUAGUAGGAUCAGAACAGAGUGAGAAUCUCUGAUACCGUAAGACUAAGGUUUUCUUAGCAAUAUAGUUUAGCUAAGAGUAAGUCGAUCCUAACUAAGUUCCUAAUUGGACACUUGGGAAAGGGAAACAGGUUAAUAUUCCUGUACUAUCUAAAUUUUUGCUUAAGUUAAACUUUGGGAUAAACUAACAAUUCUCGUCGGGAUUGUUCUUAAAGACAAGUUGGUGGAGUACUGUAAUAGUGAGAAACUGACUAAAUUUAGGAGGCUAGCAAUAGUUUAGUUGAGUCCUAGAGUCCGUGAAAGAAGCUUAAGGCCGAUUUAGAUAAUCGUACCCAGAACCUGCACUGGUGGUCUAGCUGAGAAGGCUCAGGUAUGAGAGAACAAUCUAACUAAGGGAAUUCGGCAAAAUAGCUCCGUGCCUUCGGUAUAAGGAGUCCCUGCGAUUGUUAAUUAUGUUAGCGAUUACAGGGUGCAAUAACAAGGGGGGUCCGACUGUUUAACAAAAACACAGCAAUCUGCUAGCCAGCAAUGGUUUGUAUAGAUUGCCACGUCUGCCCAGUGCCAGUACUUGAAACUCUUUUCCAAGAGAGCUAAGAGCUGGUAAACGGCGGGAAUAACUAUAAUUCUCUUAAGGUAUGCAUUAGUUGCCUUAGUAAAAUCUGGCUAUAUGCUGGAAAAUCCGAGUAUCCCACACUACCAUAAUUAAACUUUUAAGGUUUAAUUAUACCUUAAUUAUGGUGACAAUGUGAUGGGUGCGGACAAUCAGCAGGAAAGACUAGAUGUUAAUUGGAUUAUAGGUUUUGUUGAUGGAGAAGGUUGUUUUCAUGUAGCAUUAAAUAAGCUACCAAAAAUGACUUUAGGUCGGCAAGUUCUUCCAGAGUUUAGAAUUGUUCAACAUCAACGUGAUGAAUAUCUCCUAAAAAGAAUAAAUAAAUUCUUUGAAUUUGGGGAUAUUUGUAGAAAUCAUGGUGAUAGAAAAGAAUUCAGAGUUAGAGGGUUAGAAAACUUAAACAAAUUAGUUUAUUUUUUCAAUGAAAAUCCUUUACAAACUUCCAAGAGGAAAAACUUUGAAUUAUUCUCUCAAGUGAUUGAGUUGAUGAAUAACAAAGAACAUCUAACAAAAGAAGGACUAAAGAAAAUUGCUAAUCUUGCUUCAAAGAUGAACAGAAAGAUCAAAAGACAUCUAGAAUCCUCAGAGACUAUACGCCAGAGUUCUAAUAAUUUAGAACAAGAUAUAGUCCGAUCCUUUAGGCGACUAGAGGAGGUUAUUAGAAAUAAUAAUCCGCCAUCUGAAUAAGAUGGUCAGUACUUCAAUUGAGGGAAAGUAACAGAUAUGAGCGAAAUGCCUUGCCGUUUGAAUGACGGCCUGCAUGAAUGGCGUAACGAGAUCUCCACUGUCCCUAGUUAGAGUCUCCUGAACACACUAUUCUGGUGCAAAAGCCAGAGAUGCCUAGUGGGAAGUAAAGACCCCGUGGAACUUUACUGUAGUAUGUUGUUGUGAUGUGGAACUUAUUGUGCAGUAUAGGUAGGAGUUGCUAUGGCUUGGUCGUCAGAUCAAGUCUAGACAAA
rnacentral:rRNA from 1 species